rnacentral:rRNA from 1 species
UACGGGGGGGGCAAGCGUUGUUCGGAAUUACUGGGCGUAAAGGGCUCGUAGGCGGCCAACUAAGUCAGACGUGAAAUCCCUCGGCUCAACCGGGGAACUGCGUCUGAUACUGGAUGGCUUGAAUCCGGGAGAGGGAUGCGGAAUUCCAGGUGUAGCGGUGAAAUGCGUAGAUAUCCGGAGGAACACCGGUGGCGAAGGCGGCUUCCUGGACCGAUUACUGACGCCUGAGGCGACGAAAGCUAGGGGAGCAAAGCGGG